CGGACGGGUGAGUAACGCGUGGAAAACCUGCCGUAUACUGGGGGAUAACACUUAGAAAUAGGUGCUAAUACCGCAUAAGCGCACAGCUUCGCAUGAAGCGGUGUGAAAAACUCUGGUGGUAUACGAUGGUUCCGCGUCUGAUUAGCUAGUUGGUGGGGUAAUGGCCUACCAAGGCAACGAUCAGUAGCCGGCCUGAGAGGGUGAACGACCACAUUGGGACUGAGACACGGCCCAAACUCCUACGGGAGGCAGCAG
rnacentral:rRNA from 1 species